rnacentral:rRNA from 1 species
GUAGUCUGCAACCCGACUACAUGAAGCUGGAAUCGCUAGUAAUCGCGAAUCAGAAUGUCGCGGUGAAUACGUUCCCGGGUCUUGUACACACCGCCCGUCACACCAUGGGAGUCGGUAACGCCCGAAGCCUGUGACCCAACCGAAUGGAGGGAGCAGUCGAAGGUGGGACCGGUGACUGGGGUGAAGUCGUAACAAGGUACC